rnacentral:rRNA from 1 species
ACGCUGGCGGCGUGCCUAAUACAUGCAAGUAGAACGCUGAAGGAGGAGCUUGCUCUUCUGGAUGAGUUGCGAACGGGUGAGUAACGCGUAGGUAACCUGCCUGGUAGCGGGGGAUAACUAUUGGAAACGAUAGCUAAUACCGCAUAAGAGUAGAUGUUGCAUGACAUUUACUUAAAAGGUGCAAUUGCAUCACUACCAGAUGGACCUGCGUUGUAUUAGCUAGUUGGUGGGGUAACGGCUCACCAAGGCGACGAUACAUAGCCGACCUGAGAGGGUGAUCGGCCACACUGGGACUGAGACACGGCCCAGACUCCUACGGGAGGCAGCAGUAGGGAAUCUUCGGCAAUGGACGGAAGUCUGACCGAGCAACGCCGCGUGAGUGAAGAAGGUUUUCGGAUCGUAAAGCUCUGUUGUAAGAGAAGAACGAGUGUGAGAGUGGAAAGUUCACACUGUGACGGUAUCUUACCAGAAAGGGACGGCUAACUACGUGCCAGCAGCCGCGGUAAUACGUAGGUCCCGAGCGUUGUCCGGAUUUAUUGGGCGUAAAGCGAGCGCAGGCGGUUAGAUAAGUCUGAAGUUAAAGGCUGUGGCUUAACCAUAGUACGCUUUGGAAACUGUUUAACUUGAGUGCAAGAGGGGAGAGUGGAAUUCCAUGUGUAGCGGUGAAAUGCGUAGAUAUAUGGAGGAACACCGGUGGCGAAAGCGGCUCUCUGGCUUGUAACUGACGCUGAGGCUCGAAAGCGUGGGGAGCAAACAGGACUAGAUACCCUGGUAGUCCACGCCGUAAACGAUGAGUGCUAGGUGUUAGACCCUUUCCGGGGUUUAGUGCCGCAGCUAACGCAUUAAGCACUCCGCCUGGGGAGUACGACCGCAAGGUUGAAACUCAAAGGAAUUGACGGGGGCCCGCACA